AUGGAAUGUAUCGAUGCCCUGUUCCCUGUGGGCCCCGUGCCCCCCAGCCCCAGGUGGACGUUCAGAUGCUACGGCUGCUACAGGAGCAAACCCCAGGUGUGGUCGGCCCCCAGCGACCCCCUGGAGCUCCUGCUCUCAGGUGUGUCUGGGAAGCCCUCCCUCCUCACCCCGCAGGGCCCUGUUGUGACUUCUGGACAGAACCUGACCCUCCAGUGUCGCUCUGAUAUCAGCUAUGACAGAUUCACUCUGUCCAAGGAUGGGGGACAGGACCUCCCCCAGCACCCUGGCCGGCAGCCCCAGGCUGGGCUCUCUCAAGCCGACUUCCCCCUGGGCUGGGUGAGCGGCCUCCAUGGGGGCCGGUACAGAUGCUACGGGGGACACAACCUCUCCUCCGAGUGGUCGGCCCCCAGCGACCCCCUGGACAUCCUGGUGGCAGGACAGCUCCCUGACACACCCUCCUUCUCGGCGCAGCCGGGCCCCAUGGCGGCCUCAGGAGAGAACGUGACCCUGCUGUGUCAGUCAUGGAGUCCGAUGGACACCUUUCUUCUGUCCAAGGAGGGGGCAGCCCGUCCCCCACUGCGUCUUAGAUCAAAGUACAGAGGUCAGCAGUACCAGGCCGAAUUCCCCCUGAGUUCUGUGACCUCAGCCCACGGGGGGACCUACAGGUGCUACAGCUCACUCAGCAGUGACCCCUACCUGCUGUCACAGCCCAGUGACCCCCUGGAGCUCCUGGUCUCAGGGCUGUUCACAAAACCCUCCAUCUCGGCCCACCCAGGUUCCAUUGUGCAUGUGUGAGGGGCUGUGACCCUGCGCUGUCAAUUGCUGUUUGACAAAUUUAUCCUGCACAAAAAGAGCGGCAGGCCGCAUUCCCAGCAAUAUGGAGAGAAGCUUCCUAGUGGGCCUGGUGGGCCUACCCACGCUCAUUUUUUCAUGGGCCCCAUGACCGCCGUGCAUGCAGGGACCUACAGCUGCUAUGGCUCUCCCAGUCACUCUAUGAGUGGUCGGCCCCAGUGACCCCGUGGACAUCGUGAUCACAGGAAUACACGAGGAACCAGCUCUCUCAGCCGAGCUGGGCCCCAUGAUGAGGUUAGGAGAGAAUGUGACCUUGUUCUGCCGCUCUGAGAGCUCCUUUGAUGUGUACCACCUGUCCAGGGAAGGGGAAGCCUGAGGAUGCUGGCUUGCUGGAGGGAACAGUCACACUGGUGCAUUCCAGUCUGACUUUCCUCUGGGUCCUGCGACCCCAGCCCACUGUGGGGUCUAUAGGUGCUCUUUCAAUCACUCCCCAUACAGAUGGUCAGACCCGAGUGACCCAAUGUACCUUUCAGUCACAGGAUCCGUUACUAGUACUUGUCCAUCACACACAGACCCAAGCACCAUAAAAGCCUUCAUCCCUGCUAGCAUCUCCUCGCUGCUCUUGUUUGUUACUGGGGUUCUAUCAGAAAUCGUCUAA